rnacentral:tRNA from 1 species
ACUCCUACACCCGCCUCCAAAUUUACAGAAGACCGUUUACAGCAAACACUUAAAAUUUAUUAUCGGAAAAAAUGAAA